UACGUAGGGUGCAAGCGUUAAUCGGAAUUACUGGGCGUAAAGCGUGCGCAGGCGGUUAUGCAAGACAGAGGUGAAAUCCCCGGGCUCAACCUGGGAACUGCCUUUGUGACUGCAUAGCUAGAGUACGGUAGAGGGGGAUGGAAUUCCGCGUGUAGCAGUGAAAUGCGUAGAUAUGCGGAGGAACACCGAUGGCGAAGGCAAUCCCCUGGACCUGUACUGACGCUCAGGCACGAAAGCGUGGGGAGCAAACAGG
rnacentral:rRNA from 1 species